UACGUAGGGCGCAAGCGUUGUCCGGAUUCACUGGGUGUAAAGGGUGCGUAGGCGGGAGAGUAAGUCCGCGGUGAAGUCUCACGGCUCAACCGUGAAACUGCCGUUGAUACUGCUUUUCUUGAGUCCGGAAGAGGUGGGUGGAAUUCCUAGUGUAGAGGUGAAAUUCGUAGAUAUUAGGAAGAACACCGGUGGCGAAGGCGGCCCACUGGUCCGGUACUGACGCUGAGGUGCGAAAGCGUGGGGAGCAAACAGG
rnacentral:rRNA from 1 species